AGGGUUUGAUUAUGGCUCAGGACGAACGCUGGCGGCGUGCUUAACACAUGCAAGUCGAACGGAGCACCCUUGAUUGAGGUUUCGGCCAAAUGAUAGGAAUGCUUAGUGGCGGACUGGUGAGUAACGCGUGAGGAACCUGCCUUUCAGAGGGGGACAACAGUUGGAAACGGCUGCUAAUACCGCAUGACGCAUUCAGAUGGCAUCAUCUGAAUGCCAAAGAUUUAUCGCUGAAAGAUGGCCUCGCGUCUGAUUAGAUAGUUGGCGGGGUAACGGCCCACCAAGUCGACGAUCAGUAGCCGGACUGAGAGGUUGACCGGCCACAUUGGGACUGAGAUACGGCCCAG
rnacentral:rRNA from 1 species